GUAAUAUAAGAUACGGUCUCUUAGCUUUUAACUAAAAAACUAAGAGACGUCUCUUAGUUUUUUAGUUAAAAGCUAAGAGACCGUAUCUUAUAUUAC
rfam:Brassica oleracea var. oleracea cultivar TO1000 chromosome C8, whole genome shotgun sequence